UACGGGGGGAGCAAACGUUGUUCGGAAUCACUGGGCGUAAAGGGCGUGUAGGCGGCUGAAUAAGUGGGAUGUUAAAUCCCCCGGCUCAACCGGGGACCUGCAUCUCAUACUGUUCAGCUCGAGCACAUCAGAGGAGACUGGAAUUCCCGGUGUAGCGGUGAAAUGCGUAGAUAUCGUAAGGAAGACCAGUGGCGAAGGCGGGUCUCUGGACAGUUCCUGACGCUGAGGCACGAAGGUCAGGGGAGCAAACGGG
rnacentral:rRNA from 1 species